rnacentral:rRNA from 1 species
AUUGAACGCUGGCGGCAUGCUUUACACAUGCAAGUCGGACGGCAGCACAGAGAAGCUUGCUUCUUGGGUGGCGAGUGGCGAACGGGUGAGUAACAUAUCGGAACGUACCGAGCAGUGGGGGAUAACUAAUCGAAAGAUUAGCUAAUACCGCAUAUUUUCUGAGGAAGAAAGCAGGGGACCAUUUGGCCUUGCGCUGUUUGAGCGGCCGAUAUCUGAUUAGCUAGUUGGUGGGGUAAAGGCCUACCAAGGCGACGAUCAGUAGCGGGUCUGAGAGGAUGAUCCGCCACACUGGGACUGAGACACGGCCCAGACUCCUACGGGAGGCAGCAGUGGGGAAUUUUGGACAAUGGGCGCAAGCCUGAUCCAGCCAUGCCGCGUGUCUGAAGAAGGCCUUCGGGUUGUAAAGGACUUUUGUCAGGGAAGAAAAGGGCGGGGUUAAUACCUCUGUCUGAUGACGUACCUGAAGAAUAAGCCCCGCA